ensembl:lncRNA
UUUUGGUGUUGCUGAGUUUACUGAUUUAUCCCGGACCAGGUCCAAAUCCCCGACAAUCGAAGAAGGAAGAGACCGCAAUAUGGAGUCCGGCGUGCGGGAUACCUGACGAGACUACAUCAGAGAGUGGAUAAAUAGCCUCUACCUUCCGUUCAAUCACUGGAGAAUAAACUGGAUGAGCUCCAUUCGAGACUAUCCUAUCAACGUGAUCUGAAUAACUGAUAUUUGUUUCUCCGAGUCGCUGAACAAGGAUAUGGACCUGAGCCCUAGGACCAUGCCUCAGGACGACCUGGCAUGAUGAUUCCUUGCUGUCCCCAGUCCACCUGGUCAUGCUGCUGCUCCAGUUUCGACUGUUCUGGCUGCGGCUAUGGAACACUGACCUGUUUACCGGACGUGCUACCUGUCCCAGACCUGCUGUUUUCAACUCUCUAGAGACAGCAGGAGCGGUCGGUAGAGAUGCUCUCAAUGAUCGGCUAUGAAAGGGCCAACUGACAUUUACUCCUGAGGCUCUGAUCUGUUGCACCCUCGACAACUACUGUGAUUAUUAUUAUUUGACCAUGCUGGUCAUUGAUGAACAUUUGAAAAAGCUCAAUACGGAACUGGUCCGAUGAAGCGGAUGCUGAGCUACAGGACUUUUUCGCUAGCACAGACUGGAUGGACACUUAUAAGAAAUCCCACUACACCCUCCGCCGAACAAUUUUGUGCAGCCUGGAGGAGAUCUUCGUGGGCUAUACUCAGCCUUGUUUCAGGGUAGUACGUUGGUGGUCUGUUGAUAUCCCUUUAGUGUUGUGGGGGCUGUUAUUGAGAAAAGUGGUUGGUUAUAUCCUGCCUGGUUGGCCCUGUCCGGGGGUAUAGUCAGACAGAGCCACCUUGUCACUCUUAUAGUCUCCACCCGGCACAGCCAGAAGGGGACUGGCCACCCCUCAGAGCCUGGUUCCUCUCUAGGUUUCUUCCUAGGUUCUUGGCUUUCUGGGGAGUUUUUCCUAGCC